UGGAGCAUGUUGGUUUAAUUCGAAGCAACGCGAAGAACCCUUACCAGGUCUUGACAUCCCGAUGCUAUUUCUAGAGAUAGAAAGUUACUUCGGUACAUCGGUGACAGGUGGUGCAUGGUUGUCGUCAGCUCGUGUCGUGAGAUGUUGGGUUAAGUCCCGCAACGAGCGCAACCCCUAUUGUUAGUUGCCAUCAUUCAGUUGGGCACUCUAGCGAGACUGCCGGUAAUAAACCGGAGGAAGUGGGAUGACGUCAAAUCAUCAUGCCCCUUAUGACCUGGGCUACACACGUGCUACAAUGGUUGGUACAACGAGUUGCGAGUCGGUGACGGCGAGCUAAUCUCUUAAAGCCAAUCUCAGUUCGGAUUGUAGGCUGCAACUCGCCUACAUGAAGUCGGAAUCGCUAGUAAUCGCGGAUCAGCACGCCGCGGUCGAAUACGUUCCCGGGCCUU
rnacentral:rRNA from 1 species